rnacentral:rRNA from 2 species
AAAAUGAGAGUUUGAUCCUGGCUCAGGACGAACGCUGGCGGCGUGCCUAAUACAUGCAAGUCGAGCGAGCUUGCCUAUAGAAAUUCUUCGGAAUGGACAUAGAUACAAGCUAGCGGCGGAUGGGUGAGUAACGCGUGGGUAACCUGCCCUUAAGUCUGGGAUACCAUUUGGAAACAGAUGCUAAUACCGGAUAAAAGCUACUUUCGCAUGAAAGAAGUUUAAAAGGCGGCGUAAGCUGUCGCUAAAGGAUGGACCUGCGAUGCAUUAGCUAGCUGGUAAGGUAACGGCUUACCAAGGCGAUGAUGCAUAGCCGAGU